AUGCUAUGCUUAGGUAACAGCCUGCAAAUGUCAAUGGCUUACAGCUACCAAGGCUCUCUCGGUCCUGCCAUUUCUGCUGCUGGCCCGGAUGCCCCUCCAGGCCCCCUGUUCUACAUCGUGGGUGACCUCUGGGCUGACUGGCAUCUCAGCUCAAGUUCCUUUUCAUGGCCAUCAUUGCUAGAGCACCAGCAGACAAAUGCUUCCUGCUCGGGUUUCAUCACAGAGUGGGGAAGGCACAGUGCCUGCAGCCGGAAGGGAGGAGAGCUGGGUGCUGCUGAGCCCAGAACGACACCCCACUCACCCUUCCUCUGCACCUCCAUCCUGGAACACCCCAACACUUGCUCUGAGGAUGCUGUGCCAGGUGUGAGGGGUACCAACAAGGUACCAGGUAACCACACAAAUAACCAGGGCACCAGGCAGUUAGAGGAGAAAUCCAGAUGACUCCAACAGUCGGUGUAAAUAACAAAGGGACUAAAGUGUAUGACAGUUGGAAUCCUGGUUCCUGGAAGAGAUGGAUCUGUGCUGAGCAUCUCAGCCCAUCAUUUAGCACCCUGUAACCUGCGGAGCAUCUGAUCCCUUCAACUGCACCCUCUUCCUCUGUGCUCGCUGACCUGACCUUCAAGGCAACUGGACUAAUACCUCGUCUUCACACCACGUGUUUGGAGAGGUCCCAAGGCUGGCAAAUCAAACAUGGGACCAGGUCAUCGCCUAUUUCCAGCAAAAUGAGUUCAUAUCCAUUUCAGGCUCAUUUUACUGCUGUUUGUUAUAACUGUUGUCAGGAAGAAAUGAGCAGGUUUGUAUACCACAAGGC
rnacentral:lncRNA from 1 species